rnacentral:rRNA from 1 species
GACGAACGCUGGCGGCGUGCUUAACACAUGCAAGUGGAGCGACGAACCAGGGCUUGCCCUGGGGCAGAGCCGCGAACGGGUGAGUAGCACGUGGGUAACGUGCCCCGAUGAUCGGGACAACCCGGGGAAACCCGGGCUAAUACCGAAUGUGCUCCCCUCACACCAGUGAGGGAUGGAAAGGAAGCUUCGGCCUCCGCAUCGGGAUCGGCCCGCGGCCCAUUAGCUUGUUGGUGAGGUAACGGCNCACCAAGGCUGCGAUGGGUAGCUGGUCUGAGAGGACGAUCAGCCACACUGGGACUGAGACACGGCCCAGACUCCUACGGGAGGCAGCAGUGGGGAAUCUUGCGCAAUGCGCGAAAGCGUGACGCAGCAACGCCGCGU